rfam:Culex pipiens quinquefasciatus supercont3.646 genomic scaffold, whole genome shotgun sequence.
CCUUCGAUAGCUCAGUUGGUAGAGCGGUGGACUGUAGAAGAUGAAGAGUGGUGGCAGUAAUCCAUAGGUCGCUGGUUCAAAUCCGGCUCGAAGGA